CACGUACUCCCUCCGUCCGGAAAUACUUGUCAUCAAAAUAAAUAAAAGGGGAUGUAUCUAGAUGUAUAUUAGUUCUAGAUACAUCUCUUUUUAUCCAUUUUGAUGACAAGUAUUUGCGGACGGAGGGAGUACUUG
rnacentral:pre_miRNA from 1 species